rnacentral:rRNA from 1 species
GAUGAACGCUGGCGGCGUGCCUAAUACAUGCAAGUCGAGCGAACAGAUGAGGAGCUUGCUCCUCUGACGUUAGCGGCGGACGGGUGAGUAACACGUGGAUAACCUACCUAUAAGACUGGGAUAACUUCGGGAAACCGGAGCUAAUACCGGAUAAUAUAUUGAACCGCAUGGUUCAAUAGUGAAAGACGGUUUUGCUGUCACUUAUAGAUGGAUCCGCGCCGCAUUAGCUAGUUGGUAAGGUAACGGCUUACCAAGGCAACGAUGCGUAGCCGACCUGAGAGGGAGAUCGGCCACACUGGAACUGAGACACGGUCCAGACUCCUACGGGAGGCAGCAGUAGGGAAUCUUCCGCAAUGGGCGAAAGCCUGACGGAGCAACGCCGCGUGAGUGAUGAAGGUCUUCGGAUCGUAAAACUCUGUUAUUAGGGAAGAACAAAUGUGUAAGUAACUAUGCACGUCUUGACGGUACCUAAUCAGAAAGCCACGGCUAACUACGUG